ensembl:misc_RNA
UGGAACAACAUUCCUGGAGUUCUCUAUUUAUCCACAGAAUAGGUACAGCAGGUCAGCCUUCUCAAAUUGUAUUUUCAAUAUGCCUCAAGCUUGACCUGGCAGGACCAAUUUCCAGGGAUGAGAGAGUAGUUCAGUCUCCAUACUCAUUCAGUUUGUAGCAUUU